AGACAGCCGACGGCCGCCCUAGCUGGCUGUGCAGAUACCAGCACAGGAAAUGAAGAGAAAGGGAGGAGCGAGAUAAGAAAUGCAAGGAUAACAGAGAAAGUGGACCCAAAAGGCGCAGAGGAAAUACAUUUAUAUUUAACUGCUGCAGCCUUCAUAAGCUCUUAGAAUAGCUCCCAUUAAUAAAACAGAGGAUUCAAAUCAGCCUCGACUGCGUGAAGAAUGUUGAACCUGUGGUCCUUGGGUUGUUGAAGGAUAUGUCCCAUUAUACAGGGGAGGCAACUAAGGGCAGUGGUGAACCAAAUGCAUUUGCAAGGUGCUGAAAACUCAAAGAACUACACGAUGCGUCUUCUUGAGAUCCGUCUCGAUGAGAGGAAACCGAUGCGACGGAUGCAACGUCGUGUCGAAUGCUGCGUGCAUACGACACUGUCGUGCAUUGCGUCGACAUCUGUCGUGUGGGAUGCAUGCAGCGAAAUGGUCCAACAUUUUUAUUACUUUACCUUAGUGUCGUCACAUCCGUCUCAUUGCAUCCAUUUCAUCACAUCACAUCGGAUCUCAAGAAGACGCAGCGUGUAGUUCCAGCAUUACGAUGAAUGCAUUAGGAUAAAUGUAAGACACCUUCACCUUGGAUUUAAUUUUAUCUCAUGAAGAGUAGGAGUGAAAGAAGUGAUUACUAAGAGUAGAAAAUCCCAAAUCACAGUACCAUAUAACAUUUUAUACUUUAUUUAAAGGGCAUGUAAAGGUAAAAAAAUAAAAUCCCAUUUUUA